UACAGAGGUCUCAAGCGUUGUUCGGAUUCAUUGGGCGUAAAGGGUGCGUAGGCGGCCCGGUAAGUCCGCUGUGAAAGUCGGGGGCUCAACCCUCGAAUGCCGGUGGAUACUGUCGGGCUCGAGUGCGGAAGAGGCGAGUGGAAUUCCUGGUGUAGCGGUGAAAUGCGCAGAUAUCAGGAGGAACACCGAUUGCGAAGGCAGCUCGCUGGGACGUUACUGACGCUGAGACGCGAAAGCGUGGGGAGCAAACAGG
rnacentral:rRNA from 1 species